UGUGGCUAGCAGAAGGUAGUGCCUCUGAGAAAUACUCAGUACCAGAAAUGAAAAUUCAUAAAUUAUUAGCUGCAGCAAGAAUUAAGAUUUCAAAAUAGUUCAAAGGUUUGAGCCUGUAGGAGACAGCAAUUUAGAAACUGGGGGAGCAGGUGACUGUAAAAAAACCCUGAGAUUAGCCCUGCUCCUGCCUGAAAUUAAUAGUAUAAGAGGGGUCAGUUUCAUGCCUUAUGCUGCGAAAAAUCCUACUCCUACUCUUUUUUGUUCCAUUGAAUAGGGAAACCAUCUAGCUGAUACAAGUGUAAUCGGCAUAAAUUUUCAACUGCAAAUUAAAAAUGUUCAUGUGGAACAGUUAAGCGGGUGUACCUCAUUCUGUGUAGUGGUUCCUGAGCAUGCUCCUUUGCUAUGAUGCUACAUUAUAAAAUGCAAAGUUGCAUGACUGCUUGCUGGUACCUCUUGAUUUUAGCCUGUGGGAAAGGUUGACAGUGCAUAAUGCCUGUGGGUUUCCUUGCUGAGUGUUUUUUACAGGGAAAGUGCCAUGUAACCUCAGCGCUGUUAUUCAUGUGACAGUCCUUGGCCGGCGUGUGGAGGUGUGGAAACAUCACAAGAAAACACGAAACAGCUUCCUAAAUUAAGGUGUGUGAUGGCCUGGCUGGUAGCUGCUGCUUUCAGAAAGAGGAAACCACAAGCACCUGAGCAAGCUGUGGCUGAUAAGGAGAGGGCUGGUGGCUAAGGACAGUUAGCCUCCUCAUGGCAAGGGUAAAGCUCUGCGUGGUAGGGGCAUUGCUCAGCCCUGUGCCUGCCUGGAUGGUAGUUGGGAGAUUAUUCUGCGUGGGCUCAUACUCUGCUGCCUGUGGCAUGAACGCUCAGAGUGAAAGCUCAUCCUGAUAUAAUGGGCCGGUGGCUUGGACUGCUUCCUGCUCUCUGGCAAAAGAAGUCUUGUGAUUUUUCACAUCAGACCUAGGAAAGCUGUGUGAGUCUCCUGUACUCUGAAUGAAAUGCAUGCUGCUCCUGAAAGAGAAGCAGGAAACUGAGCAAAUGGAACAAGAAGGCAUGUUUCCUAACAUAGCAGAUGCUAAAGAUAUUUGGCUAAUUAGCAUUACUUUCAUCUCCACUUCUUCCGUUGUUGAUGAAAGGAAAGCUUAUUAGAACUGACGACUUUGCUGUUAGCUGGUAACCUGGUUCCUGAAACAAGGGAUGACAAAAGGUUAGCUUUAAAUACUUCCUUCAGAAAAGGAAACAAUACUAAGUAUAACUUAGCCAGCCAACUUGGAUGAGAGGUGACUCAGUAUCUCAAAUUUAUGGGCAGUUUGUUUCUUCUUCUGUAGAUUCCUUAG